UUUUCCAUUUUUCACUUUCAGUCGAGAGAAGAGAGAAACUUUUCUCUUCUCCUUCAACAAAUCAGCUUAGAUUUUAGGAUUUGCAUGAAAUUAAUACCCCGUUUCAACAAAUCUCCAAUUUAAUCAAAACCCAUAGAAAUCUGAAAUCAAAUCUAUACUUUUUUCUAAACCUAAUUUUUUCCCUGAAAUCAAAAAUCAAAUCAUUCAACCUCUGAUUUUGGUGGAUUAUCAUCAGAUUUUGAAGAUGGUGCACAGGCAGAUUAUGGGUGAGAAGACUUGGCGUCCAGGAAUGUGAGAAGACUUGGCCUUCUGGUCCAGGAAUAUCUAAGGCUUGUCGAGAUGUGAAACAAUGGUUGACAAGCAUGUUUCCUGCUUACCCUUAUUCUAUCAUUGAGGAACUCAACGCUAAACUACUUGCAACAGCUAGUUCAGAGUGGGCUGCUUUCUUAGAUGCUGAAGGAAGAAUCUUGAAUCAACAGGGUUAAGAAAGAGAACAUUUUAUGGAGGAGUCGAGCAUAGACUGCAAAAAGAGGCCUAGAAAUUCUUGUUGGGCUAUUAUGGUUAUGAUUCGACAUUUGCUGAGAGGGAAAAUCUAGCUUCAGGUAUAAAAGAAAAAUAUGAAACAAUGAAGCGCCUGUGGCAGAUCGAGUCUGGAACCAACCCUGCCAUCCAGUUCAAAACACAUCCGAACAUCAACAAAGAGUUAUUUUACUAGGCCUGAAAGAUCCAAAUAUACCUUUUCCAGUCUGUCCACCUGGUGAUGCGGGUAUUAGUCUCUUGAGGUGGAGAAUGCUGAGUACUGACGAGCCUGUAGUGCCCCUGACCAUCAACUGCUGGCCGUCUGUCUGUGGAGGUGCCCGUUUUGUUAGCAUGGAAUAUGAGGCAUCAACUAUGUUUAAUUUGCACAAUGUUGUGAGCAAAUGUGAGCCAGGUUGAUGGUGACUGGAAGUAAUUGGUUCUUUUUGUGUUGGAAGUACUGUGCCAGCAACAAUAAAAGUGUUUCAUAUAAGAACCAUACCUUCCCCAUGGCAGUUUCAAUUGUGUUGUCGGGAUAAUAUGAAGAUGAUCUAGAUAAUUCUGAUGAUGUUGUUUUUACUGGACAAGGGGGUAAUGAUUUACUUGGCAAUAAAUCCCAAAUAGCUGACCAAGUAAUGGGACAUGGCAAUUUGUCUCUCAAGGAUUGUUAUGUUCGUUUGGGAACAAAACUUAUUGCUGUCGUAAUUCUCCUAUCUUACCUUGCAGAAUAACUGGAUCAGUAAGUUUCCAUCAGAGUUAUUCAUGGACUGAAAUGUCCUAGUACCAACUGGUAAGCACAAGAACAUCUGCAGUUCCAGUUGUUCCUGAUUCUGAAGGAAGUGAUUCAAAUUCGUUCUCUCUUGAUGCAUUAGCCCUUUUCAUCUUUUGUGUGCUUCAAUGAGAAAAUCACCCUGAAUUCAUCUUUCACGUUAUCUUUUGCCCACUUCUACAAUGCGGAGAGUCGAUUUUUAAUGCAUAAUUUAUAUCUACUCUAUACUUGAAGGGAGAUCAUGACAAGACGUGUUGUGUUGGUUACAUCCUGCUUGAUGUUUUACCAUCUUUAUGACGGAUAGAGCUAUGCCCAGUACAUUCCCCUACCUUUCUGAAGACACCCUCUAUAUAUGUAUUCGACUGCUCAGCUGCAGGAAUGAUAUUCAAUGACUUUAUAGAGGUUCAGAAAAUGUCUUUGUGGUCCUCUUUUUUGGAGAAAGAGCUAAGGCCAAACUCAUGAAGAUAUGUGAUCAUCUGGAGCAAACCAUUACCCAUUCAUUGAGGAAAUCGUAAUGCAAGACCAGAUGAUGACAGAGGUAUGCGAAGUCCUGCAUUGAAUUAGUCAUGCAGAUCCAAUGGAGGGUAUGCUAAAAUUUUGCUAUGAUCUAUUUAAACAGUAGCUUUUAGCAUUGAAUCACUUGUAAAAGUGAAUGAUUUUUGUAGCUGAUCAACUGCGUCAAACUACACUCAGCUUGCUCAAUUCUGAUAAUUUCAUCUAUUACAUGCUGAAAUACAUGAAUUGUUCUUGAUCAAUUUUGAUGAUAUUGAGAACUCCAA